UGGGGAAUUUUGGACAAUGGGCGCAAGCCUGAUCCAGCCAUGCCGCGUGCGGGAAGAAGGCCUUCGGGUUGUAAACCGCUUUUGUCAGGGAAGAAAUCUUCUGAGUUAAUACCUCGGGAGGAUGACGGUACCUGAAGAAUAAGCACCGGCUAACUACGUGCCAGCAGCCGCGGUAAUACGUAGGGUGCAAGCGUUAAUCGGAAUUACUGGGCGUAAAGCGUGCGCAGGCGGUUUUGUAAGACAGAGGUGAAAUCCCCGGGCUCAACCUGGGAACUGCCUUUGUGACUGCAAGGCUUGAGUGCGGCAGAGGGGGGAUGGAAUUCCGCGUGUAGCAGUGAAAUGCGUAGAUAUGCGGAGGAACACCGAUGGCGAAGGCAAUCCCCUGGGCCUGCACUGACGCUCAUGCACGAAAGCGUGGGGAGCAAACAGGAUUAGAUAGCCCAGGUAGUCCACGCCCUAAAACGAUGUCAACUGGUUGUUGGGAAGGUUCCUUCUCAGUAACGUAGCUAACGCGUGAAGUUGACCGCCUGGGGAGUACGGCCGCAAGGUUGAAACUUAAAUGAAUUGACGGGGG
rnacentral:rRNA from 1 species